rnacentral:rRNA from 1 species
AACGAACGCUGGCGGCAGGCCUAAAACAUGCAAGUCGAACGAACCGCAAGGUUAGUGGCGCACGGGUGAGUAACACGUGGGAAUGUGCCUCUGGGUACGGAACAACGUCGGGAAACUGACGCUAAUACCGUAUAAUGUCUACGGACCAAAGAUUUAUCGCCCAGAGAUCAGCCCGCGUCUGAUUAGCUAGUUGGUGAGGUAACGGCUCACCAAGGCGACGAUCAGUAGCUGGUCUGAGAGGAUGAUCAGCCACACUGGAAAUGAGACACGGUCCAGACUCCUCCGGGAGGCAGCAGUGAGGAAGAUUGGACAAUGGGGGAAACCCUGAUCCGGCCAUGCCGCGUGUGUGAAGAAGGCCUUAGGGUUGUAAAGCACUUUCGGCUGUGAAGAUAAUGACAGUAGCAGAAGAAGAAGCUCCGGCUAAAUUCGUGCCAGCCGCCGCCGUAA